rnacentral:rRNA from 1 species
UAACGUGAGCUCCCCUGUCUCUUCUAUGAACAUAUAACUUAACCUCUAGGUGAAAAGGCCUAGAUACUACUAAUAGACAAGAAGACCCUAUCGAGCUUUAUUGCUAAGUCUCUCUAUAAACUGUUCCAUCAACUUUAUACAGAACCUAAGCCAUUUUGUUGGGGCAACAAAGGAACACCAAAACCUUCCUCUCAAAACUAAAACAUACCAAGACCCAGCAACGCUGAUCAAAGAAAAAAGCUACCGUAGGGAUAACAGGUUAAUUUUUCUCGAGAGCCCACAUCAACAGAAAAGUUUGGCACCUC